rnacentral:rRNA from 1 species
UAAGGGCACAUGGGGGAUGUCUUGGCGUUAGGAGGAGAAGGGCGUGGAAGUCUGCGAAAAGCCUGGGGAAGUUGACACACAAGCGAUGAUCCCGGGGUUCCCGACCACAGCACACUGAAUACAUAGGUGUGUAUGUAACAACCUGGUGAACUGAAACAUCUAAGUAACCAGAGGAACAGAAAGAAAAAUCGAUUCCGUCAGUAGCGGCGAGCGAAAUCGGAAUAGCCCAAACCGAGGAGGUUUCCUUCUCGGGGUUGUAGGACUUCAAUAUGGGAUUGAGACGUGUUAGUGAAACGACUUGGAACGGUCGGCCACAGAGGGUGACAGCCCCGUACGCGAAAAUAUUGUCUCACCUUAGAAGCACCUGAGUAGGUCCAGUCACGUGAAACCUGGAUUGAAUCGGCGGGGCCCAUCCCGCAAGGCUAAAUACUCUCUGAUGACCGAUAGUGAACUCAGUAUGGCGACUGAAAGAUGAGAAGAACCCCUUCUAGGGGAGGUAUGUGAACCUGAAACCAUGUGCCUACAAGCGGUCGGAGCCCGAUUCAUGGGUGACGGCGUGCCUUUUGCAUAAUGAUCCGGCGAGUUACCGUCAAUGGCUCGAUUAAGGCCUUCCGGGCCGUAGUCUCAGCGAAAGCAAGUCUGAAUAGGGCGUUUUGUCAGUGGCGGUAGACGCGAAACCAGGUGAACUACCCAUGAGCAGGUUGAAGCGCGGGUAAGACUGCGUGGAGGACCGAACCCACCUAGGUUGAAAACUGGGGGGAUGACUUGUGGGGAGGAGUAAAAGUCUAAUCAAACCUGGAGAUAGCUCGUUCUCUCCGAAAUAUCUUGAGGGAUAGCGUCGAGUAAAUUAGUGACCGGGGGUAGAGAUACUGAAUCGGAUGGGGGCCCUUCCAAGGGUACCUCACCGAACCAAACUCCGAAUACCGGUUCACCUUACCUCGGCAGUCAGUCCCUGGGGGAUAAGCUCCAGGGUCGAGAGGGAAACAACCCAGAUCGCCUGCUAAGGUCCCGAAGUGCUACUUAGUCACUAAGGAAGUUGAAGUGCCGUGACAGCUGGGAUGUUGGCUUAGAAGCAGCCACCAUUUAAAAAGUGCGUAACAGCUUACUGGUCGAGCAGUUCUGCGCCAAUAAUGAACGGGAGUAAGUACGACACCGAAGCAGUAGAUUUAUGGUAGGAGAGCGCCGCU